AGAGUUUGAUCCUGGCUCAGGACGAACGCUGGCGGCGUGCUUCACACAUGCAAGUCGAACGGGGACAGAGCACAGGUUUACCUUUGCUCUAUCCUAGUGGCGGACGGGUGAGUAACACGUGAGCAACCUACCUGACAUACUGGGAUAACAGCGGGAAACCGUUGCUAAUACCGGAUACUCCAUUUUUAACGCAUGUUAAAAGCGGGAAAGGGUUUACCGAUGUCGGAUGGGCUCGCGACUCAUUAGCUAGUUGGUGGGGUAAUGGCCUACCAAGGCUGCGAUGGGUAGCUGGUCUGAGAGGACGAUCAGCCACACUGGAACUGAGACACGGUCCAGACUCCUACGGGAGGCAGCAGUGGGGAAUAUUGCACAAUGGGCGCAAGCCUGAUGCAGCGACGCCGCGUGGAGGAUGAAGGCUUUCGGGUCGUAAACUCCUGUCUGGGGGGAUGAAUAAUGACAGUACCCCCGGAGGAAGCCCCGGCUAACUACGUGCCAGCAGCCGCGGUAAUACGUAGGGGGCGAGCGUUGUCCGGAAUUACUGGGCGUAAAGCGCGCGCAGGUGGCUUGUUAAGUCAGGUGUCAAAAUGCGGGGCUCAACCCCGUAUCGCACUUGAAACUGGCAGGCUUGAGUGCAGGAGAGGAAAGUGGAAUUCCUAGUGUAGCGGUGAAAUGCGUAGAUAUUAGGAGGAACACCAGUGGCGAAGGCGACUUUCUGGACUGCAACUGACACUGAGGCGCGAAAGCUAGGGGAGCAAACAGGAUUAGAUACCCUGGUAGUCCUAGCCGUAAACGAUGGGUACUAGGUGUUGGGGGUGACAAUCCUCCAGUGCCGCAGUUAACGCAUUAAGUACCCCGCCUGGGGAAUACGGCCGCAAGGCUGAAACUCAAAGGAAUUGACGGGGGCCCGCACAAGCAGCGGAGCAUGUGGUUUAA
rnacentral:rRNA from 1 species